UCCUAUAUUCAGGCUUCAGUCCACAAUCAAUAUGUACAUUGAUAUAUAUCACCAAUGUAAUCUCUCCGGAAGGUAAAUCCUCUGAACUCCUACGUGUCGUGCCGUGGGGAAUCAUGCUACAAAACACCCUACUGGGAAACAAGUUGUAGCACCUUGAGGAGCUAGAGUGGUUGCACCUGCCUUGUGAAACAAUUCCUCCAAGGGCAAUCCUGCAUUUUUACUUCUGCCUUAAGAGAUUUCUUUGCCUUCUGCACUUCUAUUCACAAGAAGAGGUCCCAACUAUUUCUGUUCUCAUAAAGUUCUUGCUGUAAGUAAGAAUUUGUCUGCUCGGCUUUGACUGAAGCUCAAUCAGUAUUAAUAAUGAGUUAAGUCAGAUAUGGCCAUAUGGUGUGGAGCUCAAAACCCUCUAACUUCCCAACUAGUUACCUGGGGCUCUGAGCUCCACAUUGCUGCAGCUCGGUUGCUGUCAGCACUCAAAAUGACUAGUUUAAUGCUAGGCUGAGCACAUCUAACCAUGCAGCAGCCACAGAACUGUUUUGUGAAGCGACAUACUUUCCAAAACAUGCUAACCUUGGAUUAAAUAAACCAAGGAAAAAGAGCCUUAAGUUCCCUAACUUGCUACAAUGCAGUCCUGCUAUUAUUAAGUCUGCUGCUGAACGUGUGAAAGUGUGUGGGAUCAACACAAACUUCACAGAAGCAAAGCCCCAUGGUAGGUGGCAAUGGCAGCUUUGUCAGAAAAUCUGCAGAAUAUGCUCUGAGGCUGUGCCGCUGGAACAAAGCAGAGAAGUACAAGAAACAUCAUUAUAGACUGAAAAAAGGAAUCUCUACAGGCACUCUUAUUCGGAUCUCCUUGGGAGAGGGAAGGGGUUGGUAUUGGUAAUAAACUGUAAAGUAAAGGUCUCACUUGAGGCAAGAGGAAGAGAGAGAACCGGUGUUAAGAAACAGUAGAGAAGAUGAGAAUGAAUGGAAUAAAAGAAAGCAAGCUCUGGACUGUUUGAUAAUGAGGUGUGCCUGUCCAGUUUCCUGAGGAAUGAAUAAUGUUAGAGAAUAUAUAGGAACUGCCAAGGCCAGUGUGUUUCACUUUCAGGGUCUCAUUCCUGAGGACUGUGAGUUAUCUUCACUGACAGUGUGCCACAAUCACUAUCCAACUGAGGUUGCUGAUAUCUAUCAGAGUGAUUUGGAAAUAUGAAGAGACAGUCCAGUGAUGGUGGAAAAUGUGUGAGCAAAGAGAUAGAGAAGACCUAGCAGAAAGAGGAAUGUUGUGUUCCAGGAUGUGCCUUGUCCUGGGACAGUAGAAAACUGUGGAGCAACAGCUUAUGGAUUUUGCAUUCCCUGGACAAAAGGAGUUAAGAUAAACCGAUUAAGAUGAUGUCUCUCCUAUGGACUUAACAUAUAUCCUUCAACACCCUUGAGAGUUAAGAGAAAUCAAAUUUAUUUUCAGAGAUAUAUUUCUUUCCUCCCCUUCCUUUUUGUUAUAAACAGCAAGGUCUGUGUUGAUUUAUUAGAAUGACUCCUUUCGCUGUGAUGUGCAGGAUUAGUAAUGAGCUACUCUGUCUGAAACGUGAUGUUAGAUACUAAACAUAGGACUUCUGGAAAAAAAAUGCAAUUCCUGUGAUGAUAUAAACCCAAGGUUUAUUUCUUACUACUUGUGUCUUACAGAUUGAAACAUGUCAUUUUAUUUUUAGAGGUGUACCGCUCUACUGCAGCUCUUUUGAAGUAGUGUUGAUGGUGUUCUAUAGCAUUUCAUUGUUGCUGAAUAUGGGCACCUUUACAUUUAAGAAUGUGAUGUUCUAUUUUUCCAUACUUAUAGUAACUUUUAAAACCUUUGGAGUUGUUUAGUAGUACGUGCCUUUGUAAUCAGAUUCUGUGGGUGGUACCUUUUGAAAGAAAUUGCCUGAAGAGCUUUGAUAAAAGAAAACAGCCUGAAGGUAAUUGGUUUGCUGAAGGCUGGAGCAGGCCCAGUUAACCUCAAUGGUUGAACCAUCCCGCAGUGAUUAUUUGAACCUUAAUAAUAUCAACCCUUCAAGUUUCUAAGUGUUCCAUGACUCUACUGAUUUUGGCAAAAAUUGAAAAUAGGUCUCAGGAGCUAAAAAUCAGCAGAACAUAUCAUACUGCUCUUUUUCUAUGUUGGUUACAUUAAAAACUCUAUCUGGAGCCUGUACCCUUCAAUCACUCAGGCAGCAACAAUAGACUCCUUUGGUUACUAAAUUUACGACAAGGCUACUUGAUUAAAAUCAAAUAUAAAAAAGA